CUGGAACACAUUAGACCUGGUUUAUACCAACAUCCCUGGUGCAUAGGAAGCUGCUUCCUAUUGGAUUCUCUGAAGACUUACCUGUGGUGCUAAUUCCUGCACACCAACCACUGAUUAAAUCUGUCAAACCAGUUUGAAGCUUCCCUAAGGUAAUGCCGGACCUCAUUCUGAAGAAUUUUUUAAUUCAACUGAGUAGCCCUUCAGAAAGCAGAACCUCCUGCCUGAUGGAAGGGAAUCAAGGAGACUGUUGGACAGAUGGGAGGGAUCAUUGCCAAUACUAAUAUUCUCCACAAUCAAUAAUUCUCAUCCAAGUCACGAAUGCCAUUCAACAGUUAUUGUUCAGUAAAGUAAACAUUGCUAAUAAGCAAAUUAAAGAUCUUAAACACUGCGUAAGAAUGAGAUA